CCACCACGUUGAUAGGCCGGGUGUGGAAGUGCAGCAAUGCAUGCAGCUUACCGGUACUAAUAACUCGAUCGGCUUGAUCAC
rnacentral:rRNA from 1 species